rnacentral:rRNA from 1 species
ACAGGCUUAACACAUGCAAGUCGAGGGGCAGCAUCAUCAAAGCUUGCUUUGAUGGAUGGCGACCGGCGCACGGGUGAGUAACACGUAUCCAACCUGCCGACAACACUGGGAUAGCCUUUCGAAAGAAAGAUUAAUACCGGAUGGCAUAAUUUUCCCGCAUGGGAUAAUUAUUAAAGAAUUUCGGUUGUCGAUGGGGAUGCGUUCCAUUAGGCAGUUGGCGGGGUAACGGCCCACCAAACCAACGAUGGAUAGGGGUUCUGAGAGGAAGGUCCCCCACAUUGGAACUGAGACACGGUCCAAACUCCUACGGGAGGCAGCAGUGAGGAAUAUUGGUCAAUGGACGAGAGUCUGAACCAGCCAAGUAGCGUGAAGGAUGACUGCCCUAUGGGUUGUAAACUUCUUUUAUACGGGAAUAAAGUGAGCCACGUGUGGCUUUUUGUAUGUAUCGUAUGAAUAAGGAUCGGCUAACUCCGUGCCAGCAGCCGCGGUAAUACGGAGGAUCCGAGCGUUAUCCGGAUUUAUUGGGUUUAAAGGGAGCGUAGGCGGGUUGUUAAGUCAGUUGUGAAAGUUUGCGGCUCAACCGUAAAAUUGCAGUUGAUACUGGCGACCUUGAGUGCAACAGAGGUAGGCGGAAUUCGUGGUGUAGCGGUGAAAUGCUUAGAUAUCACGAAGAACUCCGAUUGCGAAGGCAGCUUACUGGAUUGUAACUGACGCUGAUGCUCGAAAGUGUGGGUAUCAAACAGGAUUAGAUACCCUGGUAGUCCACACAGUAAACGAUGAAUACUCGCUGUUGGCGAUAUACGGUCAGCGGCCAAGCGAAAGCAUUAAGUAUUCCACCUGGGGAGUACGCCGGCAACGGUGAAACUCAAAGGAAUUGACGGGGGCCCGCACAAGCGGAGGAACAUGUGGUUUAAUUCGAUGAUACGCGAGGAACCUUACCCGGGCUUAAAUUGCAAAUGACGGAACCGGAAACGGUUCUUUCUUCGGACAGUUGUGAAGGUGCUGCAUGGUUGUCGUCAGCUCGUGCCGUGAGGUGUCGGCUUAAGUGCCAUAACGAGCGCAACCCUUACGGGUAGUUACCAUCAGGUUAUGCUGGGGACUCUACCCGGACUGCCGUCGUAAGAUGUGAGGAAGGUGGGGAUGACGUCAAAUCAGCACGGCCCUUACGUCCGGGGCUACACACGUGUUACAAUGGGGGGUACAGAAGGCAGCUACACGGCGACGUGGUGCUAAUCCCAAAAGCCUCUCUCAGUUCGGAUUGGAGUCUGCAACCCGACUCCAUGAAGCUGGAUUCGCUAGUAAUCGCGCAUCAGCCACGGCGCGGUGAAUACGUUCCCGGGCCUUGUACACACCGCCCGUCAAGCCAUGAAAGCCGGGGGUACCUGAAGUACGUAACCGCGAGGAGCGUCCUAGGGUAAAACUGGUGAUUGGGGCUAAGUCAUAAC